GCGAGCGUAGCUCAGUUGGUUAGAGCGUCUGCUUGUGGAGCAGAAAGUCGUGGGUUCAAGUCCCAUCGUUCGCC
rnacentral:tRNA from 1 species